rnacentral:rRNA from 1 species
GGAUAACCUACCCUUAGGACCGGGAUAACCUUGGGAAACUGAGGACAAUACUGGAUAGGCAAUUUUUCCUGUAAUGGUUUUUUGUUUAAAUGUUUUUUCGCCUAAGGAUGGGUCUGCGGCCGAUUAGGUAGUUGGUUAGGUAAUGGCUUACCAAGCCGUUGAUCGGUACGGGUUGUGAGAGCAAGAGCCCGGAGAUGGAACCUGAGACAAGGUUCCAGGCCCUACGGGGUGCAGCAGGCGCGAAACCUCCGCAAUGUGAGAAAUCGCGACGGGGGGAUCCCAAGUGCCAUUCUUAACGGGAUGGCUUUUCAUUAGUGUAAAAAGCUUUUGGAAUAAGAGCUGGGCAAGACCGGUGCCAGCCGCCGCGGUAACACCGGCAGCUCUAGUGGUAGCAAUUUUUAUUGGGCCUAAAGCGUCCGUAGCCGGUUUAAUAAGUCUCUGGUGAAAUCCUGUAGCUUAACUGUGGGAAUUGCUGGAGAUACUAUUAGACUUGAGACCGGGAGAGGUUAGAGGUACUCCCAGGGUAGAGGUGAAAUUCUGUAAUCCUGGGAGGACCGCCUGUUGCGAAGGCGUCUAACUGGAACGGUUCUGACGGUGAGGGACGAAAGUUAGGGGCGCGAACCGGAUUAGAUACCCGGGUAGUCCUAACUGUAAACGAUGCGGACUUGGUGUUGGGGUGGCUUUGAGCUGCUCCAGUGCCGAAGGGAAGCUGUUAAGUCCGCCGCCUGGGAAGUACGGUCGCAAGACUGAAACUU